GAUGAACGCUGGCGGCGUGCUUAAUACAUGCAAGUCGAGCGAACGGACGAGAAGCUUGCUUCUCUGAUGUUAGCGGCGCACGGGUGAGUAACACGUGGAUAACCUACCUAUAAGACUGGGAUAACUUCGGGAAACCGGAGCUAAUACCGGAUGAUAUUUUGAACCGCAUGGUGCAAAAGUGAAAGACGGUCUUGCUGUCACUUAUAGAUGGUUCCGCGCUGCAUUAGCUAGUUGGUAAGGUAACGGCUUACCAAGGCAACGAUGCAUAGCCGACCUGAGAGGGUGAUAGGCCACACGGGAACGGAAACACGGUCCAGACUCCUACGGGAGGCAGCAGUAGGGAAUCUUCCGCAGUAGGCGAGAGCAUGACGGAGCAACGCCGCGUGAGUGAUGGAGGUCUUCGGAUCGUAAAACUCUGUUAUUAGGGAAGAACAUAUGUGUAAGUAACUGUGCACAUCUUGACGGUACCUAAUCAGAAAGCCACGGCUAACUACGUG
rnacentral:rRNA from 1 species